GAAAACAUAUUGUGUUAAAAAAUUAAAUAAUAAAACCCAAAAAAAUUUAAAUUAAAUUUAAAUAAAUUAUAAGAACAUAAAAAAAAAGAAAAAAAUAGUAGUAUUAAUAAGAUUUAGCUAUAUAAUAUUUCAAAAUCGAAGAGAUAAAUUCAAUAUUUUAGAAACCGUAUUGGACCGGUCGAUUGAACCGAUCAAAUCAAAAAUCAAAGAGGUCAUUGGUAUGGUUUGAUUGGUGGAUCGGAUAAGCUAUUAAAUCAGUGAG
rnacentral:lncRNA from 1 species